rnacentral:misc_RNA from 1 species
GAAAUGCGAUAAGUAAUGUGAAUUGCAGAAUUCAGUGAAUCAUCGAAUCUUUGAACGCACCUUGCGCUCCUUGGUAUUCCGAGGAGCAUGCCUGUUUGAGUGUCAUGAAAACCCUCAACCUUAGAUUGGUUAAAACCUUUCUUUGGCUUGGAUUUGGACGUUUGCCGAUGAUAAGUCGGCUCGUCUUAAAAGUAAUAGCUGGAUCUGUCUCGCGACAUGGUUUGACUUGGCGUAAUAAGUAUUUUGCUGAGGACAUCUUCGGAUGGCCAGGACCUAGACUAAAGACCGCUUUCUAAUUCAUUGAUCUUCGGAUUAAUAUUCUUGACAUCUGGCCUCAAAUCAGGUAGGACUACCCGCUGAACUUAA